rnacentral:lncRNA from 1 species
GCCCUGGGCUCGGAGAGCCGGGAGCGAACACCCUCCAGUGCUGCAGUCCCUUUCACUGGAGAGGGAGCCUCGCUCUGGGGGGCCGCGGGGUGCUGCAGAGCCGGAGGGAGCCCACCUCUGCGAGCUCCCUAAAGACACCGAGAGGUGCUCGGAUUUGCAUUCCGUUUAUAUUAGCAGAUAGAACUCCAUAA